CAGCAGCCGCGGGAAAACGAAGGGUGCAAGCGUUAAUCGGAAUUACUGGGCGUAAAGCGCGCGUAGGUGGUUCAUUAAGUUGGAUGUGAAAGCCCUGGGCUCAACCUGGGAACUGCAUCCAAAACUGGUGAGCUAGAGUACGGUAGAGGGUAGUGGAAUUUCCUGUGUAGCGGUGAAAUGCGUAGAUAUAGGAAGGAACACCAGUGGCGAAGGCGACUACCUGGACUGAUACUGACACUGAGGUGCGAAAGCGUGGGGAGCAAACAGGAUUAGAUACCCCCGUAGUCCCUGUCUCUUAUAC
rnacentral:rRNA from 1 species